AUGAGGAAAAGUUUUAAUUUAUAUUUCCUUUUCCCAUUUUUCUUUUCUUUUUCCCAUUUUCUUUUCCCCCGCAUGCCGCACCCCCUUUCUUCAACCGACCCGUACCUUAAGGUGCCGACGCUGCCCACCGACGCGUCGCCGCCGCCCUUCCCCGCCGGUUCUCCUCCUGCGAUAUAAAAGCUGUGGCUGAGGGUUUUUGCAACCCUUCCUUCUCUUCCCCUUCUUGUGCUGAGCCCUAGAGUUUUGCCGCCGGCGAGACUUUUGAGCCACCAUCGACCAAUUAUUUCCUUCUCCUCUUCCUCCAUCUCGAGUGACCUAGCCGACUUCUUCCUUCCCGACGCCUUCUCUGCCCAAAGCCGAACGCCUCUUCCAUCUGCUGAUAUCCGGUUCUUCUUUGAUCAACGAUGUCGUCGGCUAUCGUCGGAGCUGCGAAGCCUUUCUAUCGCGGAGAUCAUGCCCUAGCCUCUUUGCAAUGAUUUGGCAGCACAACGGCCACCUUCUGUGCCCUAGCCGCAGUCACCAUGCUUUAGAUCGCCAGGGAUCGGAAACAUGUGUUGAUGACAAGGGGUUUGUUGGUGUCUGGAAUUGUUGAUUCUGCCUUGAUCCGACACUGUGGCAGGAAGGUCUCUUUUCACGGCAGAUCGACACACCUAUAUUGUUUAGGUUUGGAUGGUUUGAUCACGGUGAAGGUGACAGCAAGGUGAGUUAGGUUGUUGUUUGAUCUAUGAUUUCCACCGACUGGUUCUAGAGGGAUUUUAUUUUUUUUUUAUCAGUGAGGUGUGCUUGGGCUGUUUGGCAGAGACUAGAAGGUGGUUGCUUGAUUAGUGACUUCUUGCUUGAUUCGGUUGAUAUCGGUGAGGAAAGAUUUCAGCAAGAUUUUUGUGUUGUGGGUUGCUCUUUGAUCCAGCAGCACCUUGGAUUCGACAGGACCUCCUUCAGGCAGUACACGUUUUGGCUGAGCUUGAGGACUUUGACGCGAGACGAAUAUCUCGACGUCGUAUUUGGACCGGAUUGGACUUUUCG